rnacentral:rRNA from 1 species
UGGGGAAUAUUGGACAAUGGGCGAAAGCCUGAUCCAGCGACGCCGCGUGAGUGAUGAAGGCCUUCGGGUUGUAAAGCUCUGUUGAGGGAGAAGAAAACAGUUAGAACUAAUAUGUCUAGCUCUUGACGGUAUCCCUUUAGAAAGCACCGGCUAACUCUGUGCCAGCAGCCGCGGUAAGACAGAGGGUGCAAACGUUGCUCGGAAUCACUGGGCGUAAAGGGCGUGUAGGCGGGAAGGAAAGUCAGAUGUGAAAUCCCUGGGCUCAACCCAGGAACUGCAUUUGAAACUCCCUUUCUUGAGUGUCGGAGAGGAAAGUGGAAUUCCUGGUGUAGAGGUGAAAUUCGUAGAUAUCAGGAGGAACACCGGUGGCGAAGGCGGCUUUCUGGACGACAACUGACGCUGAGACGCGAAAGCGUGGGGAGCAAA